rnacentral:rRNA from 1 species
GCUUGUCUCAAAGAUUAAGCCAUGCAUGUCUCAGCAUAAGCUUCAACACGGUGAAACUGCAAAUGGCUCAUUAAAGCAGUUACAAUUUAUUUGAUGGUCACUGUUACAUGGAUAACUGUGGUAAUUCUAGAGCUAAUACAUGCAUCAAAACCUGACUCUUGGGAAGGGUUGUGUUUAUUAGAUACAAAACCAAUUCAGGUUCUUCCUGAUUCCUCUGGUGAUUCAUAAUAACUUUGCGGAUCGCAUGGCCUUGUGCCGGCGAUGAAUCAUUCAAAUUUCUGCCCUAUCAACUUUCGAUGGUAAGGUAUUGGCCUACCAUGGUUACCACGGGUAACGGGGAAUUAGGGUUCGGUUCCGGAGAGGGGGCCUGAGAAAUGGCCACCACAUCCAAGGAAGGCAGCAGG